rnacentral:misc_RNA from 1 species
AAAAAGAACAAAGAUUUAAAGACAUGGACAGAUGAAGGGUAGGGGAAAGAAGAAGGGUUGCAAACAGCUCCAAUUUCUUGUGUUGACUGGACACCGGCCCAAGGAUGCAUAGUCAACCUCUGCCAUAUUUGUUCUAUUCCUUCAGCUGCAUCGGUCCCAUUUUAUAUAACACACUUCCCUUCACUAUGUCCCAAAAAAAACUUCCUGUGUUGACUGGACACCA